GAUGAACGCUGGCGGCGUGCCUAAUACAUGCAAGUCGAGCGAAUGGAUUGAGAGCUUGCUCUUAUGAAGUUAGCGGCGGACGGGUGAGUAACACGUGGGUAACCUGCCCAUAAGACUGGGAUAACUCCGGGAAACCGGGGCUAAUACCGGAUAACAUUUUGAACCGCAUGGUUCGAAAUUGAAAGGCGGCUUCGGCUGUCACUUAUGGAUGGACCAGCGGCGCAUUAGCUAGUUGGUGAGGUAACGGCUCACCAAGGCAACGACGCGUAGCCGACCUGAGAGGGUGAUCGGCCACACUGGGACUGAGACACGGCCCAGACUCCUACGGGAGGCAGCAGUAGGGAAUCUUCCGCAAUGGACGAAAGUCUGACGGAGCAACGCCGCGUGAGUGAUGAAGGCUUUCGGGUCGUAAAACUCUGUUGUUAGGGAAGAACAAGUGCUAGUUGAAUAAGCUGGCACCUUGACGGUACCUAACCAGAAAGCCACGGCUAACUACGUGCCAGCCGCCGCGGUAA
rnacentral:rRNA from 1 species